AUCUCUGAAUAUUAUAUUUAUUCAGGGUAUACCUGUUGAAAUGGUAGCUGCGGGUGCUGAGCACAGUGCUGCUGUCACAGAAGCUGGUGAGGUGUAUGGCUGGGGAUGGGGACGAUAAGGAAAUUUGGGCUUAGGUGACAGAAAGGAUCGCUUAAUUCCCGAGAAAGCUUUGUCAAUUGAUGGUAUAAAAAUGGUUCUUGUUGCAUGUGGAUGGAGGCAUACUAUAAUUGUUACCUCUUCAGGGAGUAUAUAUACUUGCGGAUGGAGUAAACAUGGUCAACUGGGGCAUGACGAUUUUGAAGAUCACUUAACUCCCUUUAAGCUGGAAGCUCUUAGUGGCCAAAUCAUUUCUCAGCUAGACUGGCUUGCAAUGCUCGGAGCAAAAAGAAGACAAGCAAAGGGCAAGACAGAGAAUGGUGGAUGAAUGGAUGAAGUAUCACCAAUUGCCUCAACCUUUAAAGAAGCAAGUGAAGGAAGCUAUUCAAUCUGAAUGGAGCGCUACUCUAGGCACAAAUGAUGAAACUAUAUUAGAUUCACUCCCAUGGGUUACUUUCAGCGGCUGUCAAAUCAAAGACCAGAGCUAAGCCAGAGAAGGGCAGUAAGGUGAAGUACAUCCCAAAACAAAGAAGUGCUUAUUGAAACUCAUGGGAAUUUAUAGGUGGUAUAGCAAAUGUGCAAUUUUUCAUCUACUAUAUCUUACAUUCUUAGCAGAGGUUCAAUUUUAACAGCAGGUCUUCUGUCCGAAAAAUUUUGAGGGAAGUGAUUAUUUGGUAGUAAUCUUUUUUAUUUUCUGGUCACAGGAUGCAGUGAGGUUUUUUUUUAAUUUCCUUUUUCCCUCAAUAGGUUGAAAUUUUCUAUGUAAUAAAUUGGUUUUUUUAGUGUUAUUGCAGAUUUUACCCUCUGGCUUUUGGCUGGCAACAUAAGAUUUUACUCUUCUCUUGUAUCUUUGAAAUGUGAAAGUGUAUAGCUGCCAUAGCUUAAGAUGCUAGGACUAGUUGGGACCUAAACAUCAUUGUCAAAAAUUUCUAAUUUUUCCUCCUUUUCUUACGGAUCGGAUCGAUGGUAUCUGUGUAUAUAGGAUGAGUGCUUUCUUCAUGUCCCCAUCUUAUGGGUGUUUCAAAUUCGAAAGGUGUUGCUGAUAUUGAGGGUAAGAUAACUAGUUAAGUUGAUGGCUUGGGUAUGUCAUAUGUGAGAAGUUUACUAGAUUAUGCACCGGUAAGGGUAGUAGAAUGUUGGGAUUUAGAAUAUUUAAGAAGUUGGGGAAGGCUAGUAAAAGUGUUAAGAAAUUAUGUUUGGUGGAGCACAUUGCACUUGACAGAAGAGAAUGGGUACAAAUAAUCUGUGGACUUGUUCCUGUUGCAAUUAAGGCUUUGCAUUGUUUGUUUGGGUGUAUCAGAUUACUUGUAAAAUCCCUUUAUGAUAUACCUCUUCAUCUUCUUUUUUGUCCUUUUCUAAAAUCCGUGCCAUCUUUUCUAGUAGUAUUUUUUUUACUCUCUAUCAGAAUAAGUGUAUACUAAUUUUUUUUUAGACACA